CCAGCUGAAAGUCUGAUCUCCAUAAAUAAAAGAACAAAGAAAUAAACCCUUGCAGUGCUGAACAAGCCCAACGGCUUCAAAAGGCAACCUGGGCACAGGACAUAAAAGGACACAAGUCUAAUUUUACAUGGAAUUGUAAAGCUCCCAAACGAGCUUCUCUUAUCUGAGGAGCAUUAGGGACAAGGAAGAGGUAAUGUGUGGAAAUGCUGCAACAGGGAGAUUACCCUGAAUUCUUCCACUUGAAAAUUGGAUCCUGCCAGGGGCAACGAUAACGUGUCUGGAUUUGUGGCCUGGUUAUCAAAUUCAUCUUCAUUUACAAUGUAAUUGGAACAUCAGUUUCUCUGGCCAUGUACCAAUCUUUCCCGUUUCUUUCUUAAUAGGCACAGCUUUUAUAUCAAAUGGAAAAGAUUUGAUAGAGAUCAUCUAUUAUGAUGCAGGGUUUUGUUUUUUUUUUUACCUGUAGAAGUGGAUCUUGUGACGCUGCCUCUGGAGGGAUCCAGCUCGUGCCUUGCCUUUGUUGCAUGUUUAUGGGGAAGACUUAAAUGUUGUGGCAGACUGUAAAUAUUAAUAUAUUGAAAUAGCUGUAUAUGCUACAAGUAUUUUGCAAACAUGCCCUGGAUCAGGCGUUCCCUCCCUCUCACAGCACUGCUCCAGUCAGAUUUUAGCCUGGAGUCUGCAAGAGAUAAUUGGAGAUCUCAAAAUAACCCUCAGCAUAGGAUGUGUCUCUCCAAGAUGCUCUAAUUAGCCAGACAUUCCGGGGGUGAUGCAGGAAUUUGUGAGGGAUAGAGAUUCCUUUGAGUCUGAGUCACCUAAAUAACCUGAAUAACCUUCCCUUUCCUACUGGCAGGUGGCUGCUGGAGGUGGAAUUAGCUGGCUGUGACCUCACAAGUGCCAGGGAUCUCUCAUCUCCCAAUUUUCCCAAAGGACUAAUCCUCACCUUAUUAUUUGUAGGGUCUUGGUGAAGGCCAUAAAGCAGGUAAAGGCCCUGUCGUGCCUGGCUCUGUGCAGGGGGAUGUGUAGCAGCUGGGACCUCUCCUCUGGGGAAGCUUUUCCCAACAAAAACUGUUCUUGUUAAGAGAGUUUUGGCUCCAGGAACAUCCUCCUGCUGCAGAACACGCAGCAUUCCCACCUUCCCUGCCCCUUUCCCUGCGUGGUCACAGCUUCUCCAGCCUCUUGGGUAUAACUGCUCAGCCUGGCCAUGCCUGGAGCUGGCACAGACCCGGGUUUUACACCCUCAGGGAGGUUGAGUGCUUUGUGGGAUCCUGGACAGCCACAGGAGAGUGAAACCAAGCUGGAAUUCCAGAAAAACCCCCGGCAGCUUUCCCUGGAAGGAGACUCUCAUCCCCUGCCCGUUCCUCAGCCCUGGUUUCAAGUUGCUGUUUGGGUUGUUAAAUAAAGCAAAUGAGCUUUGAGCUUUGUUAUAUGGAAAUAUAGAUUCAUGGAAUGGUUUGGGUGGGAAGGGACCUUAAAGCCCAUCCAGUUCCAGCCUCUGCCAUGGGCAGGGACACCUUCCACUGGACCAGAUUGCUCCAACCCCUGUCCAACUUGGCCUUGGACACCUCCAAGAUGGGAAUUCCACACCCUCUGUGGUAUUUUGUGUCUAACUCAGCCUCUCUGAAAGCACAGUGGUUUAAACCUUUACCUCGAUAUGUCCCUCCAAAAUUCCAUCUUGGAUAAGCUGGGUUUACAAGCACAGCUGGAUUCCCUGUCCAGCACUUGGAGCAGAUGAUUCUUUUCGUACAGGACGAGCUUUUAAAUUUGUAUGAGAGCAUCUGUCGCGAGCAGAGCCAAGAAAAACAGUUCAAGUGUGCAUUUUCCCUUCCUUAACCCAUCCUGCUGCUCUCCUGGAGAACACUUGGGCUUGAGGGUGAUUCCUGCAGCUUGGAUGGACCCUCUGAGCGGCCCCAGAGGAGCAGGGACCAGCUGGGAUGUGUCUGCUGGGAGCUGCAGAGGAGAACAGGCUUCCCUGGGAACGAGCACAUACGGAGCUUUUGGGGAGGAAAACGGGGCUUAGGGAAAUUCUUCCUUAAUUGAUAAACCUGUGACAUGUUGGAUGAGACAUUGGACACGUGUCCCGUUCGUCAGCUGUGAGGGGGAGGAAUUCCUGCAGGUUAUCCAGGGACUCCCAUCCCAGUGGAGAUGUUAUUCCUCAUUUCCUCCCUGGGAAGCUCCGUUCUGUGAGCACAGAACACAAACCUUUGCUGUUGCUGCUCAAUUGAGCCUUCCACUGCUGCCAUAUGUUUUAAUGGGAAUGUUUGUUUCCACGCUCCUUUUGCUCCUUUUGCAAGGAGGGAUGAGUCUCCGGGGAGCUGCUUUCAGAGCUGAUCAAGGAGCACAGUUAAGACACUUCCCUGGGAAAUAGGAACCUGCCAGAUCUUGGGGAGUGUUGGAGAACACUGGAGCCUCCCUGGGAUCCCACGAGAGCAGCAGCUGUGUGUUGGAACACUGAAAUAUAAAGUGUUUUCUGCUGAAGCUGUUACUUUUACCACUGAAUUUGGAACUAGUUGUUCCUGGAAGACUCUGUUAAACCACAGAUGUCUGGAUGCUCCUGGGUUUUGAUGGCUUUGCACAUUUAGGUUGGGAAGGACCUCCAAGACCAUCGAGUCCAACCUGUGACCACCUCGUCACCCAGCCCAGAAAACUGAAGUGCCACGUCCAGUCAUUCCUUGGACACCUCCAGGGAUGGGAACUCCACCACCUCCCUGGGCAGCCCCUUCCAAAGCCAGUAAAGAACUAAACCUUGGGCCUGUGGAAGGCCAUUAAUUUCAGAGAUUUUUGCCUCCAGCUGGUUCUCAGCGUUGUAAAACGCUCCAUCUGUGCCGAAGCACCAACGCCCACAAGUGGAGGAGAUCACUGAGAGAAAAAAACGCUGCGAGCGGGUGAUAAAGAUGCUGAAAAGUGAUCAAGGUGAAUCACAGCACGAAAAUAGCUUGGAUGGGAGCCUGGCGAGCUCCUGCACCAAUAAGUUGGAUGGCAGCCUGGCAAGCUCCUCCACCGAGGAGCGCUGGGCUUUCUGCUCCAGCUAUUCCACGAUCCUACAACUCCUGUGUUGGAAGUGAUCCCUCGUUCCGUGUAAUAAAGUCCUGACGAUGAAUAUUU